rnacentral:lncRNA from 1 species
GUGGUAGCAUCGCAAAGUUCGUCCCCAUCCUCUUUGUUGUUACCCUUGCAGCAUCUCGUAUCCCUGUCCUUCCUCCCUUAUCCAUGGAUUCCAGCUAGUCUUUUGAACAUCCCAAGCUUUUUUUACUUAUUAAUUGGAUCCUAAUGCUCACUAUUAAAAACCUAUUACAUUAUUGCCCAGAUCAAUGACCGGAAACGAUGGUAGAAAUGCAUUCCAGAAUAGAAAAGGGGA